UUGACCUCAAAUCAGGUAGGACUACCCGCUGAACUUAAGCAUAUCAAUAAGCGGAGGAAAAGAAACUAACAAGGAUUCCCCUAGUAACUGCGAGUGAAGAGGGAAAAGCUCAAAUUUAAAAUCUGGCAGUUUCACUGUCCGAGUGUAAU
rnacentral:rRNA from 1 species